rnacentral:rRNA from 1 species
AUUGAACGCUGGCGGCAUGCUUUACACAUGCAAGUCGAACGGUAGACCCUUUCGGGGGUUGAGAGUGGCGAACGGGUGAGUAAUGCAUCGGAACGUGCCUAGUCGUGGGGGAUAACGUAGCGAAAGUUACGCUAAUACCGCAUACGCACUGAGGUGGAAAGCGGGGGACCGUAAGGCCUCGCGCGAUUGGAGCGGCCGAUGUCGGAUUAGCUAGUUGGUGAGGUAAAGGCUCACCAAGGCGACGAUCCGUAGCGGGUCUGAGAGGAUGAUCCGCCACACUGGGACUGAGACACGGCCCAGACUCCUACGGGAGGCAGCAGU